rnacentral:lncRNA from 1 species
GUAAGGGGAUAUUUACAAUUUUAUUAUCGAUUUUAGAUGAUGCUAACUGUAUAGCAUAGCCUGUUAUUCUUAGCAUAGCACCCCGUUUAUUGCAAAAUGUGAUUUCCCAGUAAAGUUAUUUUGAGAUCUGGCCAUUCGGUAGCAAUUACGAGAUGAUAAUAUAUUAUUCUUUGAAUGACAAUAUUAUAAUUUACCAAUGUUUUCGAAUAGUAAUUUUGUUAUGUUCACCGGAAGCAUUUCAGAGAAGAAAAAAAUCUGAAUUUCACGCUACUGUAAAAUGCUGUUUUUGGAUAUAAAUAUGAACUUGAUGGAACAAAAAAUGCAUGUAUUGUAUAACAUAAUGUCCUAGGAGUGUCAUCUGAUGGAGAUUGACAAAAGUUAGUGCAUAAUUCAAGCUGGUUUCUGCUUUUGGUGACGCCUGACCUUGAAUUGAAAAUGGAUGUUUGUACUUUUGUGGCUAUGUACUGUCCUAACAUAAUCUAACUUUAUGCUUUUGCCAUAAAGCCUCUUUGAAAAUCGAACAAUGUGGUUAGAUUAAGGAGAUGUUUAUCAUUUAAAUUGUGUAAAAUAGUUGAUUGUUUGAGAAAUUGCAAUUAUUAGAUUUUUGAUGUUUUGAAUUUCCAGCCUUGUUAGCAAUCCCGGCUCGGGGUUCAUUGCUAACCUGUAGCCCCAACAGGUUAACCUGUUAGGGCUAGGGGCAAUAUUGACACGGCUGGAUAAAAAACGUACCCGAUUUAAUCUGGUUACUACUCCUGCCCAGUAACUAGAAUAUGCAUAUAAUUAUUGGCUUUGGAUAGAAAACACCCUAAAGUUUCUAAAACUGUUUGAAUGGUGUCUGUGAGUAUAACAGAACUCAUAUGGCAGUCAAAACCCUGAGACAAAUCCUGACAGGAAACUGAAAUCUGAUGUGUGGAUAUCACUUCAAACAUUUGCCAUUGAAACACACAGUGGCUUGCGAUUCAUUUAGCACUUCCUAAAGCUUCCACUAGAUGUCCCCAGUCUUUACAAAGUGUUUUGAGCCACCCACCAUCAAAAUUGACUGAAAGAGAGGAUGUUUACCUUGGUCACAGGAAAUGGGCCAUUACCAUUGUGACGUCGGCGCCCAUGGGUACUCUCCCUUUUCGAAACAUUUUGAAAGACAAUGCAACCAUCCCAAUGGAAUAUUAUUGAAGCCCUGGUUGAAAAAGCCCCUAAAGAUUUAUGUUAUACAACGUUUGACAUGUUUGAACGAACUUAAAUAUAUAUUUUUUGCUCAUUCCUGACGACAAGUCAGACGCAGACGGUAUAUUUUCACUAGACUUCGGAGCGUGCUAACGCUAUUGGGACAUAAAUUAUUAACUUUCUUGAACAAAACUACAUUUGUUAUGGACCUGGGAUUCCUAGAAGUGCCUUCUGAUAAAGAUAAUCAAAGUUCCGGAUUAUUCCACGGGAGGGCGAAUGGAAUCAUAUUGCAAAUGUAACAUAUAUCACCAAUCACGACACAGCUUUUUCUCCUAAACGGAAAAGAAUUCGAAGACGAAACUCGGUCUGCGUGGGUUUGGCAUAAUGGGCAGUUGGCCCCGAACAGGAUGGAGUCGAGGCCUCGACGCUUUUCGAGUUAAGGCUAUUUUUCUGGGAUUGAAAGUCAAACAGGAAAAUAGAGUGCUGAUUUGACCGCUUCACAUCAAACUACAUGAGCCUACGGUGUCAGGAGAAAAGGAACCAUGCAUUUACCAAUGUUCAUUUCAGAGAAAUUGUACAAUGACACAUUGGUGAUAUUCAACAAUAGGAGGGGUUUUUUUCCAAAAAGUUACAUAUCCAGUUGCAGCGUGUUCAGAUGAGUCCGUUAAGGCGGGUUUCGGAGCUCUGCGAGAUUUCUGUGAUUUUCUGUGAUUUUCUGAAACAACACACACUUGUUCAACCCUCUGUAAAUAAGUCAGUUCUUAACAUAAAGACCUAAAACUCAAUAUUCUAUAAGAGCCUAACGUUCAGAUUCCUGUGUCAACCAGAAGUGCCUUAAAAUGGUGUCAUAGGGGCUGUUUUGAAGGGUUAAAAAGGUCAGAUCUUUCCACAACUUCAUAUGUGUGACUAGGCAACCCUCAUGACCUGUAAUUCAGUCAUAUAUCCAAUCAGAUGUCAAAGAAAAGCUCUCUCACACACACACACACACAGCAAGGACGGAGUGACACAGUGCGGUGCUUAAAGACACAAAGAGCCUGCAAUGGCAUUACCAUUAUCUCUAGGCUGUGCCGAGUUCAAUGAGACGGCCCGCUUGACGGUAGCUCGCUCGGUCUGAGCGCAGUGACCAUGAGAAAACUAGGCCCAAAAUGAUGCCUGCACCAAUAUGUCAAGUGCUUUUGGGUGACAGUGAGAGAACCGUUAGGGUUAGAAGCACAAUUCAAACUCAGGAGCGUUCCCGAGGUCCUCCCGAUCUGUGAAAGCAUAACUUUGACCCUGU